GACCGCAAGGAGCGACCUAGGGCAAAACCGGUAACUGGGGCUAAGUCGUAACAAGGUAGCCGUACCGGAAGGUGCGGCUGGAACACCUCCUUU
rnacentral:ncRNA from 1 species